rnacentral:tRNA from 1 species
UAACAAGUGAAGGUUGGAUAACAGUUUUAUUCCCAUUUUUAUCUGCAGUAUAGGGAACUUGGAAUCACCUUU